GACGGAGGAUGCAAGCGUUAUCCGGAAUUAUUGGGCGUAAAGCGUCCGUAGGCGGUUUCAAAAGUCUGUUGUUAAAGCCCACAGCUCAACUGUGGAUCGGCAAUGGAUACUGGCAGGCUAGAGUGCGGUAGAGGAUGGCGGAAUUCCCGGUGUAGCAGUGAAAUGCGUAGAGAUCGGGAGGAACAUCUGUGGCGAAGGCGGCCAUCUGGACCAGCACUGACACUGAGGCACGAAAGCGUGGGGAGCAAACAGG
rnacentral:rRNA from 1 species